CCAACAUUCGCCGUGCCCACAAUCCCACCGACACCAAAACCCUAGCCAAUCUAGUGGAGGCGCUGUUAGCGGCGGGAAGACUCGCCACCAACAUCGCCAUCGCCCUCUGCUUUGCGCUACGCCCCUCUCCUAUCCCGACAACGCUAUGGCGUCCUCGACGACCACUCCAUUGAAGACAGACGGUUGGUCUCUCUCCCUCUUCCUCUCUAGGUAGUUUCGGUUUAGAUGAGAGUCAUGUUGU
rnacentral:lncRNA from 1 species